CAUUACAGAAAUCCCAAUUAAGCAAGAGCUCAGCACGACUGGGCGAGCAGACCAAUGAGUAGUCAUACUCGUUGAUCAAUAAUCCUCACAGCCUGACCAACUGUGGGGAAUGAGCGUGUUUGCGUGACACGGCACGCAUUCACGGUGAAGAGAGAAAAAGCGAAAAAAAGAGCUACCCUAAAGCUCAUGAAAAUGGUUUGAUCGCGUAUCCCGGCGCUUUCUUCCAUAUAUAUAAAGCAUUGCACAAAUAAUGAGUUUUGAGCUGGGGCUCAUUAGUGCACAUUACGAUUGCAUGGUUGUGGCAACCGGUGAUCGUUAACUGCAGCUUUGUCUGCCUACGGUGGAGCGAUCCAGUUCUGCCUUUCGCCUGUGCCUGGUACAUUCGUGUACCUACGCACAGUUCUGGUUGUGACAGGGUGCCUACCCGUCUGAUGCUCUUUGUUAUGCUUGCCGUCUGUAGAUGGUCAGUCCAUAUCAGGAGUGACGGGAUGUGCUGUCAAAAUUGGCAGUGCUAGGCUUAAUGAGUGGUUCGACAUAACGAGCUACGGCUCAGCCACCGCCCUGUUUGCUGUUUGUUGCAACAAAAUCCCAUAUUACACUGUUCAAGUGGUUCAGAUCGGACAUUGCUCACCCAACCGGUUUGAAUCAUUGCCCGACAUGCACCUGGUCUCGUACUGGAAUGCAUGUGCAGUCGCCUGGCGGUGCCUUAUCCUGGGCUAGACUGAGUAACCAAGCGUCGCUCAUCCGAAUCCCUGGAUGUUCGAUGUGAGUACAACUCUGUGCGGUGGAUCACUCGGCUCGUGUGUCGAUGAAGAGCGCAGCCAACUGUGUGAAUUAAUGUGAACUGCAUACUGCUUUGAACAUCGACAUCUUGAACGCAUAUUGCGGCCAUGGGUUAGCCUGUGGCCACGCCUGUCCGAGGGUCGGCUUAUAAACUAUCGCGACGCCCAAAAAGUCGCGGCUUGGGUCUUGCCAGCUGGCGUGAUAUCCCCUAUUUGGUCUUGUGCCUUUGUGGGGUGCCAGAACUAUGGCGUUUCCCUAAUGUACCCGGACGCACCAUGUUACGGCUAAAAGCCUUGACGAGAUGUGUCGAUAGAGUCGUGGCUCAGUUAUAUAUUUUAUGUGCGCGCUCUACCGUCAUGUUUUGUCUAUGGUUGGCUUGCUGUGGGUGGUUGUGUACCGAUGCUGACUAAUGUAUGUGCCAUAUGGCUCAUCAUUU
rnacentral:misc_RNA from 1 species